AGAAUCAACGCUGGCGGCGUGCCUAACACAUGCAAGUCGCACGAGAAAGUGGAGCAAUCCACGAGUAAAGUGGCGCACGGGUGAGUAACACGUGAAUAAUCUACCUCCAAGUGGGGAAUAACUGAGAGAAAUCUUAGCUAAUACCGCAUAAUACCCACGGGUCAAAGCAGCAAUGCGCUUGGAGAGGAGUUCGCGGCCGAUUAGCUAGUUGGCGGGGUAAUGGCCCACCAAGGCGAUGAUCGGUA
rnacentral:rRNA from 1 species